ACUACAAAUCCCCCACUACCAACAGGUAAAAACUACAAAUCCCCCACUAUUAACAGGUAGAAACUACAAAUCCCCCACCACCAACAGGUAAAAACUACAAAUUCCCCAGUACCAACAGGCAAAAAACUACAAAUCCCCCACUAUUAACAGGUAAAAACUACAAAUCCCCCACUACCAGCAGGUAAAAACUACAAAUCCCCCACUACCAACAGGUAAAAACUACAAAUACCCCACUAUUAACAGGUAAAAACUACAAAUCCCCCACCACCAACAGGUAAAAACUACAAAUCCCCCACCACCAACAGGUUAAAAAAAGUACAAAUACCCCACCACCAACAGACAAAACUACAAAUCCCCCACUACCACAAGAUAAAAAACUGCAAAGCCCCCCACUACCAACAGGUAUACACUUCAAAGCCCCACUACAAACAGGUAAAACUAUAAAUCCCCACUACCAACAGCUAUAAACUACAAAUAUCCUACAACCAACAGGUAUAAACUACAAAUCCUCCACUAACAACAGCUAUAAACUACAAAUCCUCCACUACCAACAGGUAUAAACUACAAAUCCCCCACUACUAAUAAUUAUAAACUACAAACCCCCACUUUGAACAGGUAAAAAACUACAAAUCCUCCACUAACAACAGCUUUAAACUACAAAUCCUCCACUAACAACAGCUAUAAACUACAAAUCCUCCACUACUAACAGGUAUAAACUACAAACCCCCCACUACCAACAGGUAUAAACUACAAACCCCCAACUACCAACAGGUAUAAACUACAAAUCCUCACUUUGAACAGGUAAAAAACUACAAAUCCUCCACUAACAACAGCUUUAAACUACAAAUCCCCCACUACUAACAAUUAUAAACUACAAACCCCCACCACCAACAGGUAAAAAACUACAAAUCCUCCACUACUAAAC